rnacentral:other from 1 species
GCGGGGCUGCCCGGCACGAGCCGAUUGAACAUCCCUGAGGCUAUAAGCAAUCCAUUGGGAGCUGUCCCUGUCCGAGUUUAUGGGCCACUGCGUUCUUCGGAAUGGAACCUGGGAGCUUGGACAUACGGCACCCACCUGACGUUUUCGCGUCAGAGGAUUUCUAGCGCAACGACCCAUGGUGGUCCCGUC